CCAAAAUCUCUAAUAUAAAACUAAGGAUCUUUACCAUAAUGAACUACAAAAAGACAAGAUCAACUGGAAGAUACUGUAGGACUGGUAUCACGACUACCACCUGAUCGCAAGUUCCAUUUUGUCCUCGGUUUCUUCCGUUGAAGGAUGUGUUCCUAUUAAACAGUUCUUGUCCUGAGGUGGUUCUUUUUUGUUCCAGUCACAAGCUCAAGUUUGCCUCUCCAAUUUCGACCUCACCCGAAACCACAACUGCAGCUCCUUACACAGCAGCUUUGAGGACGAGAUACUGGCGUCUAGAAGAGAGAAGAGAUGGAGCUGUGUCUAGAGUUGUCUCUGUCUUUUUUUGUGCAGUUUAUAUUGUGUUACUAGGACAGUGUUAUGUUGCUAUGCCCUCGGGAUAUAAACUAGUUAUAACACGUGCA